rnacentral:rRNA from 1 species
UACGGGGGGGCAAGCGUUGUUCGGAAUUACUGGGCGUAAAGGGCUUGUAGGCGGCCAACUAAGUCAGACGUGAAAUCCCUCGGCUUAACCGGGGAACUGCGUCUGAUACUGGAUGGCUUGAGUUCGGGAGAGGGAUGCGGAAUUCCAGGUGUAGCGGUGAAAUGCGUAGAUAUCGUAAGGAAGACCAGUGGCGAAGGCGGGUCUCUGGACAGUUCCUGACGCUGAGGCACGAAGGUCAGGGGAGCAAACGGG